rnacentral:piRNA from 1 species
UGCUUAUCUUCAUUCGAUCCUAGUGAGCCU